CCUACGGGGGGCAGCAGUGAGGAAUAUUGGUCAAUGGACGAGAGUCUGAACCAGCCAAGUAGCGUGAAGGAUGACUGCCCUAUGGGUUGUAAACUUCUUUUAUAUGGGAAUAAAAUGUUACACGUGUGGGAUUUUGUAUGUACCAUAUGAAUAAGGAUCGGCUAACUCCGUGCCAGCAGCCGCGGUAAUACGGAGGAUCCGAGCGUUAUCCGGAUUUAUUGGGUUUAAAGGGAGCGUAGGUGGAUUGUUAAGUCAGUUGUGAAAGUUUGCGGCUCAACCGUAAAAUUGCAGUUGAUACGGGCAGGCUUGAGUACAGUAGAGGUGGGCGGAAUUCGUGGUGUAGCGGUGAAAUGCUUAGAUAUCACGAAGAACUCCGAUUGCGAAGGCAGCUCACUGGACUGCAACUGACACUGAGGCUCGAAAGUGUGGGUAUCAAACAGGAUUAGAUACCCCUGUAGUC
rnacentral:rRNA from 1 species